AAAAUUCGGGAGGACCGUUAACUAUUAUUAUCUAUUUGGGCCACCGCCUCAAUUGUCUAAUGGGCUUAAUCAACUAACACUGAAUAUAAUUAAAAGUUCCUUACGGUCAUUUAGCUAACACUCCAAAACUGCAAAUAGGCUCCUCACAAGAAGUCCAAAACCGGGAGAACUAGCAGUAUAAUGGGGCAUUACAUGAGUCAAAAUUGCAGCCCAAAUUAUUUUCAAUGGGGUGGUUAAACUUGGGCCCAAAAAUAAGCCUAAACUCGAAAUCUCGAACGUGUCUGAACAAGGAAUUCAAUGUCGAGUUCGCUUCAAACCCAAAAC
rnacentral:lncRNA from 1 species